GCCUUGCUAGCUCAAUCGGUAGAGCGUGUGACUCUUACUACUUGUAUCACAAGACUAAAGUCAUCACAAGGUUGGGGGUUCGAGCCCCCCGUAGGGCU
rnacentral:tRNA from 1 species